rnacentral:rRNA from 1 species
UACGUAGGGUGCAAGCGUUGUCCGGAAUUAUUGGGCGUAAAGGGCUCGUAGGCGGUCCAUCGCGUCGGGUGUGAAAAGCUGGGGCUUAACCCCAGUCCUGCUUCCGAUACGGGUGGACUAGAGGUAGGUAGGGGAGAACGGAAUUCCAGGUGUAGCGGUGAAAUGCGUAGAUAUCUGGAGGAAUACCGGUGGCGAAGGCGGCAUCCUGGACCGGCAUUGACGCUGAGGAGCGAAAGCUAGGGGAGCAAACGGG